UAAAACUAAACAAACUGUUUUCAUAACUGUUGAAAUAAUAUUUGUCAUCAUUACUAAAAGUCCACUCGCUAAAUAAGUAAAAUUUCCCUACUGAUAUUUAUUUAUGUCCUAAAGUUUUAACUCGGAUGUUUAUAUCAGUCACCCCGAUUGAACUGCUAAUACCCAAGAACUGAUAAGUUUCAACAAUAAAUCUUUCUUAUAUCACGACAACUGAGAUAUGAAGUCUUUCUUUUUUACCACCUAUCUUUUACCUAAGCUUCUGCUUUUUAUUGGAUAAAUUUAUCGAUACACACCUUUCCGACGUCAGGGUCUU
rnacentral:lncRNA from 1 species